rnacentral:tRNA from 1 species
UCCCUGAUGGUCCAGUGGCUAAGACUCCAUGUUGCAAAUGCAGGGCAUCCAGGUUCAAUCCCUGGUCAGGGAA